UACGAAGGGGGCUAGCGUUGUUCGGAAUUACUGGGCGUAAAGCGCGUGUAGGCGGGUCUUUAAGUCAGGGGUGAGAUGCCAGGGCUCAACCUUGGAACUGCCUUUGAUACUGGAGACCUUGAGUCCGGGAGAGGUGAGUGGAAUUGCGAGUGUAGAGGUGAAAUUCGUAGAUAUUCGGAAGAACACCAGUGGCGAAGGCGGCUCACUGGCCCGGUACUGACGCUGAUGUGCGAAAGCGUGGGGAGCAAACAGG
rnacentral:rRNA from 1 species